CAGGCCUAACACAUGCAAGUCGAACGGCAGCGCGGGAGCAAUCCUGGCGGCGAGUGGCGAACGGGUGAGUAAUAUAUCGGAACGUGCCCAUUAGUGGGGGAUAGCCCGGCGAAAGCCGGAUUAAUACCGCAUACGACCUGAGGGUGAAAGCGGGGGAUCGCAAGACCUCGUGCUAUUGGAGCGGCCGAUAUCAGAUUAGCUAGUUGGUGGGGUAAAGGCCUACCAAGGCAACGAUCUGUAGUUGGUCUGAGAGGACGACCAGCCACACUGGGACUGAGACACGGCCCAGACUCCUACGGGAGGCAGCAGUGGGGAAUUUUGGACAAUGGGCGCAAGCCUGAUCCAGUAAUGCCGCGUGCAGGAAGAAGGCCUUCGGGUUGUAAACUGCUUUUGUCAGGGAAGAAAUCCUUUGGGUUAAUACCUCGGAGGGAUGACGGUACCUGAAGAAUAAGCACCGGCUAACUACGUGCCAGCAGCCGCGGUAA
rnacentral:rRNA from 1 species